GACGAACCGUGCGAACGUUGUUCGGAAUCACUGGGCUUAAAGGGCGCGUAGGCGGCCGAGCGGGUCGUGGGUGAAAUCCCCCAGCUUAACUGGGGAAGUGCUUACGAUACCACUGCGGCUGGAGGAAGGCAGGGGCACUUGGAACUGUCGGUGGAGCGGUGAAAUGCGUUGAUAUCGACAGGAACGCCGGUGGCGAAAGCGGAGUGCUGGUCCUUUUCUGACGCUGAGGCGCGAAAGCCAGGGGAGCAAACGGGAUUAGAUACCCCGGUAGUCCUGGCCUUAAACGAUGAGAACUAGGUAGUGGGCUCGACCUGGGCACACUGCCGCAGUGAAAAUCCUAAGUUCUCCGCCUGGGGAGUAUGGUCGCAAGGCUGAA
rnacentral:rRNA from 1 species